GAGCAAGUAGCGAUUGCUUGUAACCCGAGCGGGGGCAAUAAGGUAGUGUGGAUGUCAAUUGUGGUGCAUGUGCCUGGGUCUAGUGCUACAAACUGUGGACCACCCAUUCCAACUUGUGUAGUGGGUUUCGGGUGCGUUGGCGAAAGCCUUUGCAUCCCAACACCUAAAGUGGCGGACACUGCGUGAGGCUGGCUUCACAGAGCAGCGAGUACCGCCCGCCACCAGCGGUGGAAGGAUAAUGAGCCGCUAUGCUAUAGGCCAAUUGAGGCACAUGUGCCCUCUCUGGUAGACCACUAUCUUUUUGCUAAUUUUCUUAUCUACUUUUGUUCCUAUGUAACCAUUAGAGUAUCACAUUUUUGUUCUGCAUCUUGGAAUAAAUUAAAUUUUGAUCUCAGAUACUACAACUCC
rnacentral:lncRNA from 7 species